rnacentral:rRNA from 1 species
GGACCAGUAUGUUGGUCGUGCUUCGGUACGUACUGUCAUUACCGGUUUCUACCUUCUGAAGAACCGCGAUGUCAUUAAUUUGGUGUCGUGGGGAAUCAGGACUGUUACUUUGAAAAAAUUAGAGUGUUUAAAGCAGGCUCGCGCUUGAAUACAUUAGCAUGGAAUAAUGAAAUAGGACGUUUGAUUCUAUUUUGUUGGUUUCUAGGAUCGACGUAAUGAU